GUCGAUGUUCGGCGAUGCAUCAACCGUGAGGGUUUCAAUCGUGAAUAUAAUAGGGUUAUCAAUUUGAGGUAGUCAAGGUUUUUAAGAUAGUUGUGUCAAGGAAGUUGACAGAUUUCUCAGAGAAGGAAAAGUCAAAUUUGAUGGUAUAAGAUUUUCAGGAGCUUGUUGGAGGAGCUCCUGUUCAAGUGCUGCCAUGAAUAUGUUUGCAUAGGGGUAAUUGUGUUGAUUUCUUUCAACAUGUCUAUACAGGCUUGGAUGCCUUGAUCAUUAGGUAUGUUGGUAUAGAGACUUCUUACGUCAAUAGUAAUAAGUAUGAACUUGUCUGGUAGUGUGUUAUUCUGAGCAAAUAUCCGGCAUAGAAAGUCUGUAGUGUCCUGGACAUAUGAUGGUAUGUGUUGUAGGAGUGGUUUGAGUAGAUGGUCAGCAUAUUGAGAAAGCUUGACUGUUGGUCCACCACAACCGGAGAUAAUAGGUCGACCUGGAAUGUUAGUUUUGUGUAUUUUGGGUAAAAGGUAUAGUUGUGGUGUCCUGGCUUGAUUGUCAAUUGUGAGAUAUUUAAAUGUUGUGUUGUCAAUGGCCUUAGAUUUGUGGAGUUUGUGUGCUAGGGUUUUGGUUUCAGUUAGAAUUUCAGGGGUCGGGUCAUGUGUUAGUUUCUGGUAGUGUUUCUCAUUAUAAAGUUGUCUAUAUGCCUCAGUAAGAUAAUCUUCCAUUGGCCAUAUCACAAUGGCUCCUCCUUUGUCUGCUGGUUUGAUUAUUAUAUCAUCAUCCUUUUUUAGAUCAUGGAUGGUUUUAAGGCUUUGUGAGGAUAAGUUGGUUUUUGUAGUUUGUUUUUGUGUUCCAAAUUCAAUUUUGAGAUCGUAGAGUACAUUUGAUAUGUAUUCUAACAGGUUGCUGUUGUCGGGGUUUGGUGCUGUGAAGUUACUGGGUAGUUUAAAUGGAUGUUUUUUAGUGUCCUUUCUGUUUCUGAAGAAAUAUUUAUUGUACAUGCUUUUUUUAUAUUUCAGAAAAGAGGCAUAUAUGGUCUUGUAUGGUGUGUGUUUGGGUGUCGGGACAAAGGUAAGGCCUUUCGACAGGGUUUUUUGUGCUUCCUGUGAGAUGGGUUUGUUAGAGAGGUUAACAAUAGUAUUGUGUUGGGAGUUAUAUUUGAGUUUUUUAUGUAGUUUAUUUUUGCUUUUGUGUCUGUUG